UCGAUAUUUCGAGCGCCGCCGGCCCGCGGCCGGCGACCCGCGCGGCGUAGUCGCGC
rnacentral:sRNA from 1 species